UAGAUUGAGGCCAAAGUUUGAGGCGUUUGAUUGUUAAUCAAGAGAUUGUGAGUGUCACUAAUCUAG
rnacentral:tRNA from 1 species